CAAUGCGAGCAAUCGUGAUAAGGGAACUCCGAGUGCCCGUAAAAUCGGGCUGUCCGCCAGUGUAAAUAACUGGUGAAGAAAGGGCCGGGCAAGACCGGUGCCAGCCGCCGCGGUAAUACCGGCGGCUCGAGUGGUGGCCACUAUUACUGGGCUUAAAGCGUUCGUAGCUGGUCUGUUAAGUCUCUGGGGAAAUCUUCCGGCUUAACCGGAAGGCGUCUCAGGGAUACUGGCAGACUAGGGACCGGAAGAGGUGAGAGGUACUCCAGGGGUAGGAGUGAAAUCCUGUAAUCCUUGGGGGACCACCUGUGG
rnacentral:rRNA from 1 species